AGCGUGAAGCCGCCCUUAAGAUAAGAUAUCCCAUCCUUUAUGGAGUAAGACCCCUGAAAGACUAUCAGGUUGAUAGGCCUAAGGUGUAAGUGCAGUGAUGUAUUUAGCCAGCAGGUACUAAUCGGUCGAGGGCUUGACCU
rnacentral:rRNA from 1 species